rnacentral:lncRNA from 1 species
CUAAUCCUAAAACUUGAUGAGGGCCACAACCAAGUUAAGAUGGUGUCUGGCAGUAUGCUAGGAGGAGUGGUUUCUGAGCCAAUGCCAGCGAGCCAUUAAGAUGAUAAGGAUUCCUUAAUGACUGACUGCUGUAUCUAAUGAUGUUAAUUAAGUUAAGCUGUGUAUAAUUAUUAAGAUGAUGAGGAUUCCUUAAUGACUGAUUGCUGUAACUGGAUGAUGCUAAAUUGAAACAAGCUGUGUAUUCAGUUAUGUAUAAAUACCUCUGCUGUCCGUAAUGAAGCAGGUCCCGCUGUAUCAACCUUA